rnacentral:lncRNA from 1 species
CCCUAAAAAGAUUUAGAUGUUCUAUUGUAAAGUGGUUGUUCCACUGAUAUCAUAAGGUGAAUGCACCAAUUUGUAAGUCGCUCUGGAUAAGAGCGUCUGCUAAAUGACUUAAAUGUAAAUGUAAAUGAUCCAAAGCCAUGAAUGAGGUGCCGGGGCUAUAUAACUGUCCCAUCAUCUUGAUAAUAUAUACAAUAUUUUGGAGAUGAUUUCGUUUUCAAAAAAAGAAUAUCAUGGAAUAUAAUUGAACAUUUUCGUUUCUCCAUCCUUGUCUCAGAGCAGAGCGAAACGGUGCUGAAAUAGUCAUCCACAUUGGGUAGGCUAUAUAUAACGAUAAUCUGGAGAUAUUUAGUUCUCAAUAAAACUAAAGUAAGCGAUUGUAAUCUGAAUGAAGGAUAAAAUAAUAUUUAUAAACGGCAAAAUAUUUAUUGAUGUUUUUAGAGGGAGAGAAGAACAUCCCGGCCAGCCAAAACCUCCCCUGACACAGAUGAUGCUUGAUACAGCCAACCUAACUAAUAAAUACAUUUGACGAUAGAAUUCUCCCCCUGCCCUCCUUCUAGGCAAGUCUAUUGUUCUGCUAAUAGCCCUGCUAAUAGACAAGUCUAUUGUUCUGCUGAUAGCCCUGCUAAUAGACAAGCCUAUUGUUCUGCUAAUAGCCCUGCUAAUAGACAAGUAUAUUGUUCUGCUAAUAGCCCUGCUAAUAGACAAGUCUAUUGUUCUGCUAAUAGCCCUGCUAAUAGACAAGUCUAUUGUUCUGCUAAUAGCCCUGCUAAUAGACAAGUCUAUUGUUCUGCUAAUAGCCCUGCUAAUAGACACUUCUAUUGUUCUGCUAAUAGACAAGCCUAUUGUUCUGCUAAUAGCCCUGCUAAUAGACAAGCCUAUUGUUCUGCUAAUAGCCCUGCUAAUAGACAAGUAUAUUGUUCUGCUAAUAGCCCUGCUAAUAGACAAGUGUAUUGUUCUGCUAAUAGCCCUGCUAAUAGACAAGUCUAUUGUUCUGCUAAUAGCCCUGCUAAUAGACAAGUCUAUUGUUCUGCUAAUAGCCCUGCUAAUAGACUAGUCUAUUGUUCUGCUAAUAGCCCUGCUAAUAGACAAGUCUAUUGUUCUGCUAAUAGCCCUGCUAAUAGACAAGUCUAUUGUUCUGCUAAUAGCCCUGCUAAUAGACAAGUCUAUUGUUCUGCUAAUAGCCCUGCUAAUAGACACUUCUAGUGUUCUGCUAAUAGACAAGCCUAUUGUUCUGCUAAUAGCCCUGCUAAUAGACAAGCCUAUUGUUCUGCUAAUAGCCCUGCUAAUAGACAAGUCUAUUGUUCUGCUAAUAGCCCUGCUAAUAGACAUGUCUAUUGUUCUGCUAAUAGCCCUGCUAAUAGACACUUAUAUUGUUCUGCUAAUAGACAAGCCUAUUGUUCUGCUAAUAGCCCUGCUAAUAGACAAGCCUAGUGUUCUACUAAUAGCCCUGCUAAUAGACAAGUCUAUUGUUCUGCUAAUAGCCCUGCUAAUAGGCAAGUCUAUUGUUCUGGUAAUAGCCCUUCUAAUAGCCAUAAUGGAACUGUACUAGUAUUUUCCAGUAAGCAACAAUUUGUUUACCUUCAUUAGACAACUUUAUUCCAAUAUUUCUGUAAUCGAUAUUUAUUCCCAUAUUAAUUCAUUAUGGAUCCAUAACUAAAUAAACAUCUGCAUUUUGAAAGAGAAUUUUUAUCAUUAUUUUAUUAAGGAAAGCAUAAAGAUGCUGAUGAAGAAAUACAGUACUGUACAGCUUUAUAUGACAUUUUGCGGUUGCAUGAGGUCACCCACACACACUGUAAACAUUUGGAUAAUAAAGCAUUUAAAGCAUUUUCAUGAUAGAAGCUGCCUGCAUUUGUUUAUUAGGCUACUGUCUGACAAGUAAACAUAGUCUACAGUACAUACUGUAGUAAACACAGUCUACAGUACAUACUGUAGUAAACACAGCCUAUAGUACAUACUGUAGUAAACAUGCCAAUACCGCCUGUCUCUGGACCAAUGCAUCAGCUGUCACCUCUA